UGAAAACAAACAUAGCACAAUCAUAAUCAGAUGAUAUUAGUAAAAGAUCCGUAUGUUCUCAGAUAGAUAGGAUUACAAAAAGGAACUGUAAAACUGUCCAUGGAACUAUCAAAAUGCAACACAUGAUAGAAAUCAUAAGCAGGGGAGAAAAAAAUAUACUUACCAUCUGUAUUAGCACAGCUUACUCCAACCAAAAGGCUUAGCGACACA
rnacentral:misc_RNA from 1 species